UGUCCGGCAUAUAUUUCAGGAGGCAAACAGUGUCGCGGAUUAGGCUGCUUCUUUUGUUGUCGAGCAUAUUGAAGACUGAAUCUGGUGUGAAGGGGAUGAUUGUCCUCAAACCCUGCAAGAUAUUUUAUACUCUAAUUCUCUAGGCUACACUCAUAUUAGAAUGAUGUGAUAGCUUGCUUGUACCAAAAAAAAAGGAUUGUAUGAUCCUCCCUGGGCUAAGAGAAUUUGAUUAUGAUAAAUUUCAUCAAGAAUAGACCCA
rnacentral:lncRNA from 1 species